rnacentral:misc_RNA from 1 species
CGAAUGGGUCCAAAGACUCUUAAAACCUACCGUGCUCCCCUACGUGGAAAACAGGAAAGCCCUCCGGGGCAUAGGAAAUCUGAAAAGUUGAAGAACUGCGCCCCGGCGUAUGACUAAACAAAAAAAUUA